ACUUUCGUCAUGAAAGAAGUUUAAAAAGGUACGGCGUAAGACUGUCGCUAAAAGGAAUGGACCUGCGAUGCAUUAGCUAGUUGGUAAGGUAACGGCGUUACCAAGGCGAUGAUGCAUAGCCGAGUUGAGAGACUGAUCGGCCACAUUGGGACUGAGACACGGCCCAAACUCCUACGGGAGGCAGCAGUAGGGAAUCUUCCACAAUGGACGCAAGUCUGAUGGAGCAACGCCGCGUGAGUGAAGAAGGUUUUCGGAUCGUAAAGCUCUGUUGUUGGUGAAGAAGGAUAGAGGUAGUAACUGGCCUUUAUUUGACGGUAAUCAACCAGAAAGUCACGGGCUAACUACAUGCCAGCAGCCGCGGUAAAU
rnacentral:rRNA from 1 species